UUCCUAUGCAUAUACUUCUUUGAGAAUCUGAUCUAAAGAGGCAUACGGCAUGGGAAAA
rnacentral:pre_miRNA from 1 species